rnacentral:lncRNA from 1 species
UCAAUGAUAGGAUAAAACUCCACGAAAAUACGAGGCCUGCAACUUCUCCAGGAACGGUAUCUUCAGCACAUCUGGGAAGCAUCUAAAAAUUCAGAGAGCUGCUGACUCGAAAUCGGAGCCGGAGAUCCUUGGAGGGCACGGUGACCUUGCCGAUUAGUACAGGAACCAUGGAGUUAGGAAGUGAGCAGGACCGCAGGAUUUGAGCCGCAGUGACCUGCACCCCUCCAGUCCCUGGGGCACCACCCACCACCUCCAGGCAGGCGGCCAGCCUCCCUCUGCAGCAUUCAGCGUGGUCAAGAGAAGAUCUCGUUGUGAGAGUCCUCAGCGUGGGCUGACCUCAGCACGUGUUGGAUGAACCUGUGGCCAGCUGUACCCUGGCAGCUAGAACCCUCCUCCUCACCCUGG